AGUGAACGCUGGCGGCGUGCCUAAUACAUGCAAGUCGAACGGAGUGGCGCACGGGUGAGUAAUGUAUAGCUAAUCUGCCCUACACUAGAGGACAACAGUUGGAAACGGCUGCUAAUACUCUAUAGUGUAGGAUGGGGCUAUAUUGUAUCAGCUAGUUGGUGAGGUAAUGGCUCACCAAGGCUAUGACGCCUCACUGGUCUGAGAGGAUGAUCAGUCACACUGGAACGGAGGCACGGUGCGGGCACAUUCGAGAGGGAGCAGUAGGGUGUAUUACUCAAUGGGGGAAGACCUAAAGGGGCAACGGCGCGUGAAGGAUGUCAAGUUGCGAGGAAUAAACUACUGUUGUUAGGGAAGCGGUACCUAACGAAUAAGCACCGGCUAACUCCGUGCCAGCAGCCGCGGUAAUUC
rnacentral:rRNA from 1 species